rnacentral:rRNA from 1 species
UACGGAGGGUGCGAGCGUUGUCCGGAAUUAUUGGGCGUAAAGAGCUCGUAGGCGGUUUGUCGCGUCUGCUGUGAAAUCCCGAGGCUCAACCUCGGGUCUGCAGUGGGUACGGGCAGACUGGAGUGCGGUAGGGGAGAAUGGAAUUCCUGGUGUAGCGGUGGAAUGCGCAGAUAUCGGGAGGAACACCAGUGGCGAAGGCGACUACCUGGCCUGUUCUUGACGCUGAGGCGCGAAAGCUAGGGGAGCAAACGGG